GCAGAGCGGAGCCGCCGCAGCCCCACGCGCCGCCCAGGACCCACUUGCCACCACUGCCUCCGCAGUACCCAUGGGGACCAGGAGACUUUAAAGGAGUUUGGGGUUUCGGGAGCAGGGAAAUCACGGAUCCCCGCUCCUGGCCCUUGCCUCGUGCGUCAUUGAUGGGCAACCAACUGGACCGCAUCACCCACCUCAACUACAGCGAAUUGCCCACGGGGGACCCCUCUGGGAUCGAGAAGGACGAGCUACGGGUCGGGGUCGCCUACUUCUUCUCGGAUGAGGAGGAGGACCUGGACGAGCGCGGCCAGCCGGACAAGUUUGGAGUGAAAGCGCCUCCGGGGUGCACGCCCUGCCCGGAGAGCCCCAGCCGCCACCACCACCACCUGCUGCACCAGCUGGUCCUGAACGAGACUCAGUUCUCCGCCUUUCGGGGCCAGGAAUGCAUCUUCUCCAAAGUGAGCGGCGGCCCCCAGGGCGCCGACAGAGGCACCAUCACCGCCCCCAAAGCCACCGGAAGGCCUGUCGGAGGGGAGGAUGAUGGAUCUUUUCAGGGUGCAGUUCACUCCUGUAUGGAUGUGUCCCCAGAUUGCAGGAUUUCCAAGAAAUCGAGCCUGUCCCUUAAGCACUAGUGAAUCAUUCCACCACGAGAGAGCACCUGGGGACUCAGGGUCACCCCGAGGCUGCCCGGGACUGUUCCAGCUCUCCAGCCCCCAGGCCUGCUGGUUUUGUAUUCCAGGCUGCGGGCUAAGCUAGACAGUGUUUGUUUCCUAUGAUUUCCACCGGGGGAAGCGCUCGCCACGCCCUCCCACCCCGCAUUCCCUGUGAGGCCCCCAGCCUGACAGAAGGGAAGCCUUCCCUGUCCCCUUCCCCGGAGGGAAAUGGCCAGCUGAUUGGGGAGGAGCGCAGGCCCCGCCCCAGGCAAGGAGAAGGGCGCUUGUUGAUCUUCACCCUACAUUGCUCCCUCCUUGGGCUGCAUUUCAAAAAUCAUCCUAUUUAUAAAGGGGUUGGAGGAGAGGGAGAGAGAAGACGAGGCAAUGUUCCAGAAACCAGCAUUAUGACAAUGCCAGAGCCAGUCUAUUUAGUUUGGCUUUUCCUAACAUAGAAAUCUUAAAAGGUGGGGAAGUGCAAAUAAAGUUUUAAAAAAUGAGGGGGCAGUGCUCCAACUAUGUCAACCAAGCAUAUCGUGUUGAUGUUUUUAUUGACCAUUUUAGCAACAUGCUAAUAAAAUUUCAAAUUGAAAUUUUUAUUUUCAUGGCUUUACUCCAUGAUCGUUUAAAUACUGGGGGCCAUUAAGAGUGGACUUAGCUACGAGCUUGGCUAGCAUUGCCUUUUCACUGUUUUUCUCAAGUCCUUUGAGAAUUCUGUUUUUGAAUAUUGUUUCUUUAAACAGCAGCCCGUGGUGCUGGUGGCGUUGCUAAUUCAUGUGAAUGUUGUACUGAAUCUCUGCCAGCGAAGGGGUUUCCUGCUUUGGUGGGCCUUGCUAGCAGGUUCCAUGAUGUUCCUUUUCUAGGUGGUGGAAACCAUUACCAUCCCACGUUUCCAUUUCUGUUUUUCUUCCUCCCUUCCUUAAUCUCCUUUUAAAAAAUAAAUCUAGAGUUAGUGGCUUUUCCCCUUCUCUGUGGUCCGUCCCACAAGUCAUUCCUGAAACACCAGAAAGGACUUGUAGGAUCUGUACAAACGUGUGUUUUUCAAAAAAUUAAGGCUGUUUGAAACCCCUUCUCUGGGCAACAAUUUACCACCUUCUCUCCCUGCUCUGCAGCCCAGCCGGGUGGACUAUUACUUACUAAUUCCGUGUGUGUCAGACAUCGACAGCAUCUGCGUCCCUUGCCAGGGAACUUGUCAAAUAAUGGUGUUUAGCUAAUCAUCGCAAGCAAUUGCCUAUUGACAGCUGUGAUUUAGUUGGACAGCAAAUAUUAUGGCCAAAGCCAGUUUCUUGGCAUUUCAAAAAUAAUGCAAUAAACACUAGUCGAGGUUAGCUGAGACUGGAACUGCCUCUUCCGUGGUCAAUGAUUCAUUUCUGUUUUGUGUUUUGGUUUUCAUCCUGGAGUCAUUCCCUGAUCUUGACUCAAAAGGUCAGGUCAAUGGACUAUGAACUAGAGUAUUUUUCUUACAGCUAUCGAGUGAUUUAUUUUUUAAGAAAAUGUUUUAAAUGCAUAUGCUUUCCUUUCAGCACAUACAAUGGCAAAACUUUUGUACUAACGCGCUCACCUUUGCAUGUACGGAGAACUGAGAGUCCUCAAGUCCCCUCACUUACUCCUCUCUCAAGUCACAGAUGGCAGAUCACCAGCCGCGGUCCGUUAUUGUGUCUGCACACUCCGCAUUCUUUAUGUGUCCUCCUACUGUACCUUGGCUCUCUGCUGUAUUAAACACCAUCCUAAGCAAUUGUUCCAA